GUCUUAGGGCAAUCUCUUUCUUGGCAGGUUCUUGGCUUUUUACAUUAUUCAUCACAAUACACAUAUAUAUGUGUGUAUAUAUAUUUAUCAUAAUAUUUAUUGUUUUUAUAUCAUUCCCUAUAUAACUUGCCAAAGGAGAGUUGCCCUAUGACUGCUAU